rnacentral:rRNA from 1 species
AACGAACGCUGGCGGCAGGCUUAACACAUGCAAGUCGAGCGCCCCCCCAGGGGGGCGGCAGUCGGGUGAGUACCGCGUGGGAACGUACCUUUUGGUUCGGCACAACCUCGGGUUACUGGGGCUAAAACCGGGUAAGACUUAACGGGGAAAGAUGUAAUGCCUAAAGAUCGGACCGAGGCGUAUUCGCUAGUUGGGGGGGUAAAGGAGCACGAAGGGGAUGAUCUGUAGCUGGGCAGAGAGGAUGAGCAGCGACACUGAGAGUGGGACGCGGGGCAGAAUCCUAGGGGAGGCGGGAGAGGGGAAUAUUGGACAACGGGCUCAAUGCUGAUCCAGCCAUGCCGCGUAAGUGAUGAAGGCCUGAGAGUUGUAAAGCUCUUUUGUCCGGGAAGGUAAUGACGGUACCGGAAGAAUAAGCCCCGGCUAACUUCGUG